CGGUCUCUAUCUGUUGUGGGCGUUGGAGAAUUGAGAGGACCUAACCUUAGUACGAGAGGACCGGGUUGGACAUACCUCUGGUGUAUCUGUUGUGGCGCCAGCUGCACUGCAGAGUAGCUACGUAUGGAUGAGAUAAGCACUGAAAGCAUCUAAGUGCGAAACUCACCGCGAGAUGAGGUUUCAUUGAGGGUCGUUGUAGACGACAACGUUGAUAGGCCGCAGGUGUAAAGGCAGUGAUGUCAAAGCCGAGCGGUACUAAUUGCCCGAAAGCUUAUC
rnacentral:rRNA from 1 species